GACGGAGGAUGCAAGCGUUAUCCGGAAUUAUUGGGCGUAAAGCGUCCGUAGGCGGUUUCAAAAGUCUGUUGUUAAAGCCCACAGCUCAACUGUGGAUCGGCAAUGGAAACUGUGAGACUAGAGAGUGGUAGGGGUAGAGGGAAUUCCUAGUGUAGCGGUGAAAUGCGUAGAUAUCGGGAGGAACACCAGCGGCGAAGGCGGCUUUCUGGACCAAUACUGACGCUGAGACGCGAAAGCGUGGGGAGCAAACAGG
rnacentral:rRNA from 1 species